rnacentral:rRNA from 1 species
UGACCUGCGGAAGGAUCAUUACCGAGUGAGGGCCCUCUGGGUCCAACCUCCCACCCGUGUUUAUUUACCUUGUUGCUUCGGCGAGCCUGCCUUUUGGCUGCCGGGGGACGUCAGUCCCCGGGUCCGUGCUCGCCGGAGACACCUUAGAACUCUGUCUGAAGAUUGUAGUCUGAGAUUAAAUAUAAAUUAUUUAAAACUUUCAACAACGGAUCUCUUGGUUCCGGCAUCGAUGAAGAACGCAGCGAAAUGCGAUACGUAAUGUGAAUUGCAGAAUUCAGUGAAUCAUCGAGUCUUUGAACGCACAUUGCGCCCUCUGGUAUUCCGGAGGGCAUGCCUGUCCGAGCGUCAUUGCUGCCCUCAAGCACGGCUUGUGUGUUGGGCCCCGUCCUCCUUCCGGGGGACGGGUCCGAAAGGCAGCGGCGGCACCGCGUCCGGUCCUCAAGCGUAUGGGGCUUUGUCACUCGCUUUGUAGGCCUGGCCGGCGCUUGCCGAUCAACCAAACUUUUUAUCAGGUUGACCUCGGAUCAGGUAGGGAUACCCGCUGAACUUAAGCAUAUCAAUAAG